GAGUACGCCUCAUACAGGCCGGUUCAUCUUUCCAAAUGGCCAUGGCAGCUCAUGCAUGUGCUUAUAGGUUUUGCAAGGCGGUCCUAGUCCUAUACAUGUUGCUGCCCUUGUUUCUACUCAACCCCCUCUCUGCUCGUCAAGAAGUGGUUGAUGGCAAAUGGGACGGGACUGUGGCUGACUCUGAUGUACAAGGAGGCCACGGGUUAAUCCUUGGCAGAUCCACAAGGCGUGCUCUCAAUGUAGUCCCCAAGGAUCCAGAAGGCGGCCCUGGCUGCUGUCACCCCAUUCGUAUCAACUCUGGCCCCCACGGAAGGCCAGGCAAUUGAUCUACAACAUUGAAGGUGUGAAUAACCGUUGAUUUGAUGAUGGAUCAGGAAAUUCUGAAUUAGUUUAAUUACUGACCGCGUCGGAUGGAGAGACAACAGAAUUUGUGCUCAUGAACCAAAAUCUAUUCGUUUCCUGAAGAAAGAGCUUUCUAGCUCUGCCUACCUUAUGCUACUACAAUAUGAACCAUCGACUGAAGUCUUGAAUUAGUUGAUUGCAUCAAGGUCACUAUAGUUUGUCCCGUACAUGUACCAAAAAAAAAAAAGAAAUCCCUCUUCAA